UUUUGCGGAUUUCUUCGGAUUGAAGCAAUUGUGACUGAGCGGCGGACGGGUGAGUAACGCGUGGGUAACCUGCCUCAUACAGGGGGAUAACAGUUGGAAACGGCUGCUAAUACCGCAUAAGCGCACAGUACCGCAUGGUACCGUGUGAAAAACUCCGGUGGUAUGAGAUGGACCCGCGUCUGAUUAGCUGGUUGGUAAGGUAACGGCUUACCAAGGCGACGAUCAGUAGCCGACCUGAGAGGGUGACCGGCCACAUUGGGACUGAGACACGGCCCAAACUCC
rnacentral:rRNA from 1 species